rfam:Candidatus Bathyarchaeota archaeon RBG_16_48_13 RBG_16_scaffold_38, whole genome shotgun sequence.
UAGACCUGAACACGCAACGCUAUUUGGUGAAUGGCUUGGCUCGGGAGCUGAAGAAGGGCGUGGCAAGCUGCGAUAAGCCCAGGGUAGGCGCAUGCAGCCUUAGAUCCUGGGAUCCCCGAAUGGGACUUCCUAUCAUUGGUCCGCAAGGACUCGUGAUGUUCCUUCAUGGAACGGGCACCUUCCGAACGGAAGCAUCUUAGUAGGAGGAGGAAGAGAAACCAAUUGGGAUUCCCUUAGUAGCGGCGAGCGAAAAGGGAAGAGUUCAAACCGAACCCUGCAGGGAAACUUGCAGGGGAUGUAGUGUAGUAGGGCCUGGCCUCCGCCUCACCGUCGAAGCCGAAGUGGCUUGGAACAGCCUGCCAUAGAAGAUGACAGCUCUGUAGGCGUAAGACGGUAGGAGAUGGGCUUGUGUCCCUGAGUAUUAUGCCUUGGUUUUGGCGUAAGAAGCUGGGAGGCAUCAACUUCCAAAGCUAAAUACAUCCCGAGACCGAUAGCGCACUAGUACGGUGACGGAAAGCUGAAAAGUACCCCGAGAGGGGGGUAAAAAGUGCCUGAAGCCAAAUAGUUAUAGACGUGCGCGGCUUGAAAGGGUGGAUCCCUUCCGAAGGAAUUCGUGGCAACGCGAUAGUACGCAGGAAGGGGGACCAGAGUCGCGCGAUCCGUUUAGAAAUACGGGCCGGGGAGGUUACGGUUGUGGCGAGUUUAAGAGUUCAAAGCUCGGAGGCGAAGGGAAACCGACAGCCCGCAGCCAGCUCGUCUGGUAAGGGGCGGGGUCUGAAUAGGGCCUGGAGCCACAACAGUAUUUACUAGAAACCGGACGAUCUAGCCCUGGGCAAGGUGAAGCCGGGUGAAAACUCGGUGGAGGCCUGAAAGGGUUCUGAUGUGCAAUUCGUUCCCCUGACCUGGGGCUAGGGGCCAAAGACCAAUCUAGUCCGGUGAUAGCUAGUUCCCUCCGAAGUAGGUCGCAGCCUAGUCUUCCCAGAGGUAGCCAGCGGGGUAGAGCACUGAUUAGGGAGUAAGGUUCCGAAAGGAACCGCUUCCUUCUCAAACUCCGAAUCUGCUGGCGCCGUAGAAGGGAGGAAGCGGGUAACGGGGGGUAAGCCCACGUGCCGAGAAGGGAACAACCUAGACUGAGGUUAAGGCCCCCAAAUGCUGGCUAAGUGUCAAUCAAGAAGGGCGUCCUCUGCCUAAGACAGUGGGGAGGUGGGCUCAGAAGCAGCCAUCCUUCAAAGAGUGCGUAACAGCUCACCCACCGAGGUCGAGGGCCCCGAAAAUGGACGGGACUAAGUCAGCUGCCGAGACCUCAGGGUACAGACUCACGUCUGUAAUCCGGUAGGAGGGCGUCCCAGUUGGGUAGAAGCAGGGCUGUGAGGUCCUGUGGACCGGCUGGGAUUGAAUAUCCCGGUGGUAGUAACAGCAAAAUCAGGUGAGAAUCCUGAUCGCCGAAAGGGCCAGGGUUCCCCGGCAAUGCGUCGUCAGCCGGGGGUAAGUCGAUCCUAAGGUGGAACUUAACUGUAUCCGCCGAAAGGGAAACUGGUUAAUAUUCCAGUACCUUAGAGGUACACGCGGCAACGCAAGCUCGACAGCCGACGCUUCGAGGUAGGUCGAACAAGGUCAUCGCCUUGUCUAACUGUCUAAGUCUAGGGAGUGCCGUAAUGGCGAGAACUAGACGAAUAUAGGAAUGGCCGCCCGUCUAUGGGCGGUUUGGCUGAUCCUCGGAGCCAAUGAAAAAGUUGUCGAGAUGGAUCCUCUAAGAUCGUACCUAGAACCGACACUGGUGACCCUAGGUGAGAAGCCUAAGGCGUGACAGGUAGACUUGAGGCGAGGGAACUCGGCAAUCUAGCCCCGUAACUUCGGGAUAAGGGGUGCCUACGAUUUUGGCGCAAGCUGGAAUCAUAGGUCGCAGUGACAAAGGGGUCCUGACUGUUUAAUAAAAACAUAGGUGACUGCAAGUCCGAAAGGAUGUGUACAGUCGCUGAAUCCUGGCCAGUGGCGGCAUCUGAAAUCUGGUUUCAACCGGGCUAAGGACCGCUAAACGCCGGGAGUAACUCUGACUCUCUUAAGGUAGCCAAAUGCCUUGUCGGGUAAGUUCCGACGCGCAUGAAUGGAUCAACUAGGGCCCCGCUGUCCCCGCCUCGAACCUGGUGAACCCACAUAACCUGGAGAACGGUCCAGGAAAUCCCAGCGGGAUAAGAAGACCCCGUGGAGUUUUACUGCAGCUUGUCGCUGGGAUAUGGCCGCGGAUGCAGAGUGUAGGCGGGAGCCGUUAAUCCCGAUCUCUCCGGGGGUCGGGGGAGGCAACAAUGGAACACCGCCCUCUUGUGGCUAUGUCUCUUACUCUAGCGUAUGCUUCUGGACAACGGCAGGUAGGCAGUUUGGCUGGGGCGGCACCCCCUUGAAAAGGUAUCGAGGGGGCCCAAAGGUUGGCUCAGGUGGGACAGAAACCCACUGUAGAGGGCAAGGCCAAAAGCCAGCUUGACUGGAUCCUCCACAGUAAGGGAUCCAGCGGCGAAAGCCUGGCCUAGCGAUCCUUCGUGUCCUCCUUGGUGGGGGCCGGAGGUGACAGAAAAAUUACCCCGGGGAUAACAGGCUCGUCGCGGGCGAGAGUUCCUAUCGACCCCGCGGUUUGGUACCUCGUCGUCGGCUCUUCCCAUCCUGGCGGUGCAGCAGCCGCCAAGGGUAGGGCUGCUCGCCCAUUAAAGGGGAACGUGAGCUGGGUUUAGACCGUCGUGAGACAGGUCGGACUUUAUCUGCUGGGAUUGCUGGUCGCUUGAGGGGAAGCUGUCCCUAGUACGAGAGGAACGGGGUGGCGCGGCCUCUAGUUUACCGGUUGUUCGAUAGAGCAUUGCCGGGCAGCCACGCCGUAGGGGAUAAGAGCUGAAAGCAUCUAAGCUCGAAACCCCUCCCGAAAAUAGGCGGCCAUUCUUUGACACCUAAUCUGAGCUUGGUAACGAGCCCGGAGGUCAAGGACGAGGGCUCCCGUAGAAGACGGGUUUGAUGGAGCGGGGGUGUACGCAUCAAGGCUUCGGUCGAGAUGUUCAGCCCGCCGCCACCAAACGCCCAAGAUGUCAGGUCGA